GGGCGCAUAGCUCAGUUGGUUAGAGCACCUGCCUUACAAGCAGGGGGUCAGGGGUUCGAGUCCCUUUGCGCCCACCA
rnacentral:tRNA from 1 species